UAUUCAACGUUAUUAGUGGUCUGUGGCCCAAAGUAACAGCCAGUCCUAGAAAACGCCCACCUUUCUAAAAUUAACGCACUUCUACCUUGUUAAAGGAUAAGUGUUGCUUCAUCUAUGGACAGUCCAAACCUACAGAGGUGCUGCUAAUCAAAUCACCUUCGGUAAUUCUACAAUGAGUUGGCCAACUUGAGCUUUCCUCGGUAAACUGUAUUCAAAUAUCUGAGUUUUUCCGAGGUAAAUAGGACACAGGCUCAGCCUCUAUAAAACUUUUAUCAACCCACAGUAGUGGCGUAUAUCGAUCGUCAUUAUAAGCACGUCGAAACGAGGUAAACGUGCUGUUAUUGCUUCUCUUACCCUAGCGUCAAUCUUUAUCUCUGAAAAUAUUAACCAUAAUUUAUAACGACGCUACAGCCAGGUGGCGCCUCUUUAAACUUGCUUGCUGUUCCGCUAAUAAUGUGCACGCGUAGGUGUGGUCCUGAGUGCGCGCGUCUGUUAAUCCAAUGGUGCUCGCGCUUGGCUAUGUUGGUUAUUGCUCGCGCGCUCUCCCCCGCUUCCGUACUACAAGCCGGUUUAUUGUAUUCAUCUUAUAACGUCAAUGCAACUGUAAAUUUUACGGGGAACUAUACAUAGUUAAUAAUAUUGGAUUCAGGAAACAGUUAUGGCAGCCAUUAGAAAAAAACUGGUUAUAGUAGGUGAUGGUGCUUGUG